CUAGUCUUCUCACCACUGCAGACCAGAACCCUGCCCUGGGCCUUGCCUGGUCUGCCUGACUCUGCCAUGGGCUGCAGGCUUCUCUGCUGUGUGGCCCUCUGCCUCCUCCAAGCAGGUUCCUUGGACACAGCUGUUUCCCAGACUCCAAAAUACCUGGUCACACAGAUGGGAAACAACAAGUCCCUUAAAUGUGAACAAAAUCUGGACCAUAAUGCUAUGUAUUGGUAUAAGCAGGACUCCAAGAAAUUUCUGAAGAUAAUGUUUAGCUACAAUAAUAAGGAGCUCAUUAUAAAUGAAACAGUUCCAAAUCGCUUCUCACCUGACUCUCCAGACAAAGCUCAUUUAAAUCUUCACAUCAAGUCCCUGGAACUUGGUGACUCUGCUGUGUAUUUCUGUGCCAGCAGCUAA